GACCCAGUAGCGCACGGCCGCGCACCCGCACCGUCUGCAACAUUCGAGAUAUAGCAGCGGGAGCUCCUGGUUCGACUCCAGGCUGGGUCA